rnacentral:rRNA from 1 species
UACGUAGGGCGCAAGCGUUGUCCGGAAUUAUUGGGCGUAAAGAGCUCGUAGGCGGCCUGUUACGUCUGCUGUGAAAUCCCGGGGCUUAACCCCGGAAUUGCCUUUGAGACUGCAUCGCUAGAAUUGUGGAGAGGUAAGUGGAAUUCCGAGUGUAGAGGUGAAAUUCGUAGAUAUUCGGAAGAACACCAGUGGCGAAGGCGACUUACUGGACAAAUAUUGACGCUGAGGUGCGAAAGCGUGGGGAGAAAACAGG